ensembl:lincRNA
GUGGUAGACAGGGAGAGAUGGCCCAGGCGGGGCUUAAUCUUUAACCACAGUCCGCUAGCCCUGGGGCUGCACCUUUGUUUGGUUAAGCUCUGUCCUGACGUCUCCAUGGGGAGGGCGGAGUGAAUUGCUUCCUGUUGGCGGGGACAUAGCCUGGGCUCCAAGUCUGCUCGCUCCAGCUCCCUGCAGCCAAGAGCGUCUGGUCCACCGCAAGCUGGGGUGCUUAGUCGUCCUUCAGUUUAAAGGGCAAUGAACUGAAGAUGCCACUGCCCGGAGAGAGUGUGGCCUGAGGCUGAGGUGCAGGCCUCCCUGUGGCUCCGCGCAUGACCAGGUAAAGGCAGAGUAUGCCCAGCCCAGCCGCAUGUGCACUGUGACCGGACAGCUCGAUCUGGCGUGAAGGAGAAGCGCCAGCCCCGUGCCAAGCUGGAGAACCUGGAACAGGUCCUGAAGGUAGGCUGGCUCCCUGCGCUUGUGACAGGACCGCUGUGGCGUCCAGCAGGAGGAGAGGCUGUGGAUUCCAGAGCAGAAACUAGCCAGGGCCAUUCUGCAGGCUUCAUCAGCCCUCGGGGCUGCUUUUCCCCUUUUGACAGAGUAUAAAAAGCAAUAAAUAACAAAAUUCACGUUUCUGGAAGCAAAUCCCACAGAGCCAGUUAUACAUUUCCUUUCCUGUGGGUGUUAAACACAGCUGAAUGGAGGGGGCUGGCAGCGUCCAGAACAGAAAUUGAGCCAACUCCUGUUAAAGCCCAGGUUGGUGUUGGUGUUGGUUUUCCAAACCUCGUGAAUUUUAAGCUGCUCCUCGGGUGCUUGGUGACCUUGGUUAUAAAGAGAAAGGCACGGUCAGGAAUUGCUUGACCAGAUGCAGGCAAGUGGGUGUUCCUCCCAGACUCUGAAUGAGUCUUUCUCAUUUAAUGGGGGAUUGAGUCGCUGUGGACAUGGGAG